AUUUUACGUGUACUGGAGAGAGCACUGAAGGUUCUUUUGUGUUUGCAUUACUCAGGGGUGUAAACAGUCCAUCUUUUAGUCAAAAUUGUGGAAACCAAAAGCUUGCUGUUAAAAUGAAUUGUUUUGGAUAACUGUUCAGGUGUCCACUUGCGAAAUCUUCACUCCUACAUGGAGGAGGCCAUUAAGUGCAGUGCCUGUGAGGCAGUUUUUCACGAACGCUACGCUUUCCUUCAGCACAGGAAGACUCACAGAGGAGGAAAAGGAUUCAAAUGUGCUCAGUGCAGCUACACGUGUAAUCAGAAAAAUAUGCGUAAGCAUGCUGAAAAUUGUGGAUUGGGGAGGACAGAAACUGCUGCACCCAGAAAAAGAAGCAAGGAGAAAAAUAAAAUCCGGGAGAACCCCAAGCGUGUUAAGUCAGAAGGUAAUCAGCAAUGCCUAAGGAAUGCAGGAGCGUGUGGAGGUGCUGCCGGCUCCAUCCUGCCAGGAGAACAGCCCAGGAGGGACCUGCUGUUCCUGCCGGGCUCCCCUCGCCUGGCAGAUGCAGGCUGGCUGCAGGAGGUCACUGUGGGCAGCCAGGCUGCCCUAAUGUGGGGUUUUCUCCUUCUCAGGAGCAGCUGAUUGAGUCGGAACAAUACUCUGCUUUCCCCAUUUGGUGAUGAAGACUGACAGUUUGUAGGAGAUGAGUCAAAGGUCACUGAUGAGAAGAUCCAUCCAGAUAAUUGCUGUAAUUGCACCCUGAGGAUGCAGCUCCUGUCACAAAGCAUCAGGCAGUGACUCUGUUGGUAAAUAUAUACUUGGAAGUGAACUUCAUCCUGUGCUUUAAAUCAGGAAAGUUCGUUCAUGAGAUAUAAAUGGAGAAAGUUCUCUUUUUUUCUUAAUCCAGCCAUGUUUUCUCCUGUUGGCAGAUGAAUAGGAAAUAGCCCCAUUCUGAAACAGAGGAGUAAUUGUGAUUUAAACAUAAAAUUGCCAUUUAGUGUUAAAUCCUUUGAUGAAUACACAAGCUGUUGUUACUUCACAACAAAUAUCAAUAAGCAGCAUGAAUGAAUGAAUAUACAUAAUUCAUAAUAUUUAACUUGAAAGUGAAACUUUUUCUUAUAGUGAUUGAUUCAUUUUUUUAUGUUUGUCCAGUGACUUCUUUACAACUUAAUACAAAAACCUUUUCUGAUGGAGAGUGAACAGUAACAGAUACAAGCAGCAGGCCUGCCACAAAAUUAGCUCUUUAUUUCACCCUUUCACAAGGCCCAGAAAUCAGCAAUGCUAAAAUAUUAGGAUGAGAAUUCAUAGUGGGGAAUCAGAAGCAAUGAAAGGAUGUAAAAUUUCUCAGAUUAUCAGUACUUGCUGUUAAAUUAAAACUCAACUAUUCUGAUGCAAAACUCAAAAUUAAGAGCCUCAUAACAGCUAGGUAGCAAUUUUAGAUAUUGGGGCCCUAGUUUCUUAAACUUGUAGAUGAGAGGAAGGUGAAACCAUUUGGAUUUCCUAGAAAACAUAAGGAGUUUGAGGUUAUUUAUACGUCUCAAAAUGCAAUAAAAUAUAAAUCUAACUUUCA
rnacentral:lncRNA from 1 species